GGAGAGGUAGCGAAGUCCGGCCGUAACGCGCUCGACUCGAAAUCGAGUUGGCGGUGAGUAACCGUCACGUGGGUUCGAAUCCCACCCUCUCCGCCA
rnacentral:tRNA from 3 species